GAAGCGAGAGGCUGAUCGCAGGCGAGCCGAGAGCGGGACACGCGGUGUUGAAGUCGAAAAGGCGUCUGCUGCCGGCGUCGGUGAGCUCGAGUUCUAAGACAUAUAAGUCCCCGGUCAGGUCACUACUCUGCUUAUAUGGUGGUGGUCUAGCUUAGGCCUUAGGGUGAGGCUCAGGUGGUAGUUCGGUCGGUAUCGAGCCGGCUUACGUCCCGUAGCAGUAGUCCGCGCGCGAGACGGGCCGGUUCGAGGUGGCGGUGCAGGGCAGGUUGGAUAGGUCUUUGGAAUCGACGGCGCCGCCGUCGCUGUGUGCCACGCCGCGGCGACGCCCGUUCUCCCGCGCCCGGCAGCGCCACUCUCGAGCGCCGACGGGCCUCCAUCCUCUACCGCUGGCUCGCGGCGGCGACGUCCUACGGCAGCCUCGCAGUGGCGGUGGUCCAUCACCGCCCCGCUUAUCUCCCUCGCAUCGACCCCGGCAACGCGAGUAUCACCCCUGUUCGUAGCCCAGCCCGUAGGAACGGCACGGCGUCUCGUGGCGCGGGCGCCCAAAGCAAGGUUCACGGCAUACGUACCACCAGACGACCCGGAAGGACCACCGGCUUCGCGAGGAGUAGCGGCUCUAGUUGCAGGUGGACGCAGCCUUCUCGUUCUUUCUGCCGCCGCUACCGCUUCCGGACCUCCACUAUAGGUACUUCUCGUACCGCGUCCGCUGCGAACCGCUCACCCCUCCCUUGGACCGGCGGUGGCGGAUGGACAAGGACAGGAUGUGAAGGUACCAGCGGAUGUGCAGGUUCAGGCCGCUCCAGGAGAGGGCGCGCUAGCCGCACGGGCUCGGGCAGAGACCGCGGUGGAAGUGGCGGCGGGAGCGCGACGAGUAGCGGCGGCCACCGUGCCCGCAGUGACGGGUUCACUUGGUUCACGAAUGGAAGAAGUACUAUCCCGAUGACGAUUGCUAACUUCAGAGACGCCACCGCAAGCCGCCGCCAGACUCAGACGGUCGCUUGCGGGUGACCCUCGUCCAAGGUCGCUGCGACGGCCACUAGUAGAAGUGCGACCAGAUGGUGCUGUAGCGCGGUCACUAGACGCGCAUGGACCUCCCCCUGGACCGCUCCUAGGCCGAGAGGUAGGAGCAGCCCUCGGAGCACGGCGAGCAGAGGGACGAGCACACCCUGCUGCAGCGCGAGUGGGAGAGGCGGAGGAGGUGCCUGGGGUUGCCGCACCCGUAGGAGCUGUACGACCUCUGUCUCACCUCGAUGCGCCACCAGCUCUGGAAGAGCGAGGACCGACAGCCCUGCAGAGAGUAGCCCUGGGACGAACGUCGCAGCGUCAAGAAGUAGCUCGUCUACUGGUUAGAUUGGGGGAGGAGACAUAUGAAGCUGGAUGAUCGUAGAAUAUGGUGACUAGUUUGAUGGACCUCUUGGUAGAAAAAAGAAACAGUGGUCAUCGUCAUCCUCUUGGUAGACAAUUUUCACGAGACUGUUUCACGUCCGUUUCUAACUGCUCCUGCGAAGACUCCUUCUUCCUAGAUGGGUCGAACCAACCGGUUGUAACGACCUUUCGUUGUCCGAGUCGAAGCAACGGUGUCCCCACCACCAAUAGGGUUGGUACGAGUAUCGUCGACGGCAGGGUCUAAGUAAGAGGUAUCGGUGACUGUAGCGGCCCCCGAUGACGUACUGGUAGAACAUGCCACGAGAGGGGGGUAACUACCGGACCAGAUAACCAAGGUUUAAUAGGCUAGUCUUUCAACCCGAACUUGUUCAACUUCGUCGUAGGUCCCGACCAUUUCUUUCUCACUCGAAGUGGCCACGUUUCGGACACGACCACCCCUACCCCCACAAGAGGCACGAGUACCAGAAGGUCGUUUAGAACGUUCUGGAACAGUCGAAAUUGUGAAUAGAGGACAGUACCCAAUCGAUCUCGUCCUUCUUCAUCGCUCACGACUUGUUCAGCUCUUACAAAGAUCCACCAAUCGACUAAGCCCUGUCUUCUAGAAAUCUAAGUCGUACACUACAUUUGCCUCCGACGGACAUUUGGUAGACAUAGUCACAUGUAUUGAAGAGGAAAAUGGGGAAAAUCAACGCACCUCGACGAGGACCGAAGAAGAGAAAGAAGACUUUUUUUAAUCGGCGUGUAUGGAUGUGACAAAAUAGUCUUCUGCUU
rnacentral:rRNA from 1 species